CUGCCUCCUUGGAUUUUGAACUCUGAAUUACGUUUUGGAUCUGCCCUCUGUCAUUAAAGCCGGCCUUCACAUUAUCCCUGAGUCUGCUAGUGGUUCCCUCUGCCCGAUUCCUGACAAGUGAAAGUGCCAUAAAAGCUCUGAUGAUGGAGGUGGAGGCCCCGCGCUUGGAUUUCUCUUCCUGUAUUCGCACCGGUCGCAGGAACGCAAUGCACGACAUCAAAUGGGAUCGAAGCACUUGCAACACCAGCAAAUUGAGCAAAGAGAUGGCCCAGAUGGGCACACAAGCAGCAGGUGGACACGCACGUACAGAGGGGGGGAGCUCAGUGACAUCUCAGUCUCUGGAGGGUCGUGGUUCUGCCAGUGUGGAAGUCCAGGCAGAUGGGCAUAUUCUGCAGCCCUGAAGGAAGCUAUGAAAGAGCCAGCUUUUGGUCCACAUCACCGGCACUGCCUUGAAGAAAACUCAACACAGAACUUUAACAACAAUGUAACAUUCGAUAAUGUUGUUCCUGACCUUUGAUACCAGGUAUACAGCUUUAUUUAUCAAGGAAACGUUUAUAAGUUUGUAACUUAUUUAGGGCUCCAACAAUCCAAAAAUCCUCACACUUACAAUCCCAGGGUCUGUGCUGUCCACCUCUUGGUCACUUAAUUGUGUUGAAAGUUUUAAACUCCUUGGAAAACUAUAGUUUUUAGUACUGUAAGAAACAUACAGUGGGCCCCAGAAUUGCAUCAUUACUUCAUGCACAAUACAUUUCAUGAAAACGACAUCUGUGAGUGUUUUUCCAUCAGGCAAUUUCAAUGCAAGUUCAAUAUUUAAAUAUUAUGUUUAGGGUCGGGUGGCAUGGAUGGUGCAGUGGGUAGCACUGCCGCCUCACAGCAAGGAGGUCCUGGGUUCGAAUCCCCGUCAGCUGGAGCCUCUCUGUGCGGAGUUUGCAUGUUCUCCCCGUGUCUGCGUGGGUUUCCUCCCACAGUCCAAAGACAUGCUGGUUAGGCUGAUUGGAGAGUCUAAAUUGCCCAUAGGUAUGAGUGUGUGAGUGAAUGGUGUGUGUGCCCUGCGAUGGACUGGCAACCUGUCCAAGGUGUAUUCCUGCCUUUCGCCAAAUGUUUGCUGGGAUUGGCUCCAGCCCCCCUGUGACUCUGUUCAGGAUAAGCGGGUUAGGAUAAUGAAUGAAUUAAUGAAAGUUUAGGGUCAAUUUGACCCCACUCAGUGUUUGAAAUCUCUUAAAAACCAGUUAACCCUUUUUUAUAUUGAAACUGUAUACUGAUUUUUCUAAUUUGGUGGGAUUAAUUAAAUAGUAAAAAUACAACAAACUA